rnacentral:rRNA from 1 species
GAUGAACGCUAGCGGCAGGCUUAAUACAUGCAAGUCGAGGGGCAGCAGUUUUGUAGCAAUACAGAAGCUGGCGACCGGCAAACGGGUGCGGAACACGUACGCAACCUUCCUUUAACUGGAAGAUAGCCCACCGAAAGGUGGAUUAAUACUCCAUAACAUAUUGAAGAGGCAUCUCUUUGAUAUUAAAGCUCCGGCGGUUAAAGAUGGGCGUGCGUCUGAUUAGGUAGUUGGCGGAGUAACGGCCCACCAAGCCUUCGAUCAGUAGCUGCUGUGAGAUAAUGAUCAGCAACACGGCAACUGAGACACGGGCCCGACUCCUACGGGAGGCAGCAGUAAGGAAUAUAGGUGAAUGGACGGAGGUCUGAACCAGGCAUGCCGCGUGGAGGAUGAAGGCCCUCUGGGUUGUAAACGUCUUUGCUUUGGGACGAAACCCCUGUUUCUACAGGGACUGACGGUACCAGAAGAACAAGCACCGGCUAACUCCGUGCCAGCCGCCGCGGUAA